CUCAAAUGAAUUGACGGGGCCCGCACAAGCGGUGAGCAUGUGGUUAAUUCGACGCAACGCGAAAAACCUUACCUGGGCUUGACAGUGCCGGGAAUCCGAUGGAAACAUUGGAGUGCCCCGUAAGGGGAACCCGGACACAGGUGCUGCAUGGCUGUCGUCAGCUCGUGCCGUGAGGUGUUGGGUUAAGUCCCGCAACGAGCGCAACCCUCAUCCUUAGUUGCCAGCAUUUAAGGUGGGCACUCUAAGGAAACUGCCGCAGUUAAUGCGGAGGAAGGUGGGGAUGACGUCAAGUCCUCAUGGCCCUUAUGGCCUGGGCUACACACGUGCUACAAUGGUCGGUACAAAGGGUUGCCAAGCCGCGAGGUGGAGCUAAUCCCAUAAACCGAUCGUAGUCCGGAUCGCAGCCUGCAACUCGACUGCGUGAAGUCGGAAUCGCUAGUAAUCGUGAAUCAGAAUGUCACGGUGAAUACGUUCCCGGGCCUU
rnacentral:rRNA from 1 species